ACUUACUGUAUUUGUACACCUUAGUUAUGUGUGCCUUCAUUUCUCUCUGUCUAGGCGGUAUGGAUUCAGCAAACAGUCCAAACAAGACAUGGUGGAUGACAGGAAGGCCCCGCUGGCCCCUGGCUCUCAGGCAGCCCCCUCCGGGAUGGCAGAGGUGUCCGAGGAAGAGGACCUGCAGGCAGCAGAGGAG